AAAUAUAGAAUCACCCUAUGAUUCAGCAAUUCCGCUUCUGGGUAUGUGCCCAAAAGAGCUGAAAGCAAGGACUUGAACAGAUGAGGAAAUGGAGGUGUGAAGAGGUGACUCUGGCAGAAAUCUAGGUCACAAUGGUCGCCACAGUUGUACUUAAAAUGAACUCUUCAAAACAUCAACAAAGUCCCUUUAUUUUGAAUGCAUCAUCACAGCUCAUUAUAUUCAGUGGCCUCCAAGCUUUUCUGUCCUGAGGCUUUUUUGAGUAUGACGUCCAUGGCAGGUACAAUCGAAAGGCAGGCAAAGAGCCCCUGGACAGAGAUGAACAGGAUGAAACAGAGUGUUCACUUUGCUU